CGGUGGAGUAUGUGGUUAAUUCGAUGCAACGCGAAGAACCUUACCUGGUCUUGACAUCCCGGAGACCCUUAGGAAACUAGGGGGUGCUUCCAUCUGGAAGAAUCUGGAGACAGGUGCUGCAUGGCUGUCGUCAGCUCGUGUCGUGAGAUGUUGGGUUAAGUCCCGCAACGAGCGCAACCCUUGCCUUUAGUUGCCAGCAGUUCGGCUGGGCACUCUAAAGGGACUGCCGGUGUUAAACCGGAGGAAGUGGGGAUGACGUCAAGUCCUCAUGGCCUUUAUGACCAGGGCUACACACGUACUACAAUGGCCGAUACAAAGGGCAGCGACACUGCGAGGUGAAGCCAAUCCCGUAAAAUCGGUCUCAGUCCGGAUUGGAGUCUGCAACUCGACUCCAUGAAGUUGGAAUCGCUAGUAAUCGUGGAUCAGCAUGCCACGGUGAAUACGUUCCCGGGCCUU
rnacentral:rRNA from 1 species